rnacentral:rRNA from 1 species
GAUGAACGCUAGCGGGAGGCCUAACACAUGCAAGUCGAACGGGAUUGAGAGCUUGCUCUCAUGAGAGUGGCGCACGGGUGAGUAACGCGUAUGCAACCUGCCUUUAACAGAGGGAUAGCCCAUAGAAAUGUGGAUUAAUACCUCAUAGUUCUGAGAGAUCGCAUGAUUUUUCAGAUAAAGCUCCGGCGGUUAAAGAUGGGCAUGCGUGACAUUAGCUAGUUGGUGAGGUAACGGCGCACCAAGGCGACGAUGUCUAGGGGUUCUGAGAGGAUGAUCCCCCACACUGGUACUGAGACACGGACCAGACUCCUACGGGAGGCAGCAGUGAGGAAUAUUGGUCAAUGGGCGCAAGCCUGAACCAGCCAUCCCGCGUGCAGGAUGACGGCCCUAUGGGUUGUAAACUGCUUUUAUACACCAAGAAAAAUCCGAACGUGUUCGGACCCGACGGUAGUGUAUGAAUAAGCAUCGGCUAACUCCGUGCCAGCCGCCGCCGUAAAAC